GGGUGAGUAACGCGUGAGUAACCUGCCUUACACAAGGGGAUAGCCUUUGGAAACGAAGAAUAAUACCCUAUAAAACCAUAAAAGCACAUGCUAGAAUGGUCAAAGUGAUAGCGGUGUAAGAUGGACUUGCGUCUGAUUAGCCAGUUGGUGAGAUAAAAGCUCACCAAGGCAACGAUCAGUAGCCGGCUUGAGAGAGUGUACGGCCACAUUGGGACUGAGACACGGCCCAG
rnacentral:rRNA from 1 species